CCCUGCCUCCAACAUGCCUCCAUCUAAANUAGUACUCUUUCCACCUCUGUCUGACGGUAACGUUUCGUAUUCAGGAUAAAAAGAAAAAGAAAACAUGAAAGCAGCACCAUGGUCAGUGAAGACCUUACUCCUGCCUGUUUGAAAAUAGGUCACCACUUUCAGGGAUGGAAUGAUUCUGAGACGGCAGUAGUCCCACAAUUAUCAGUUGUUGUAUUUAGCUUUUCCAAUGUGUUUUGGUUGAUUUGUUGAUUUUAAAAAGCAGAAAGUUUGAUAUGUUGUCAACUUUCAAUGGUGGUGGUAUAAUAAGUGCAAAUGUCAAUCCUCUUUGGAUAACAGUAAAACAAACUGAUACAAUCAUUUGCUUUCCUCUGAGUACACAGGACACCGACCGUGUGUAUUUUAAGACACCUUACAGCUUUCCACCCAGAGAGCAGGACAAUGACGGCAUGGACCAACACAACGUGGUCACCACAACCAGAGAUGUUGGGAUCCUGAGUAAAGACGUGUCUUACGACAGGCUUGUGGUAAGGACAUGCAAAGGACCAAGAAACAACUUAUCUUAUUUAAUCUGCUUAACCAGAAUAAUUCUGUUAAGCAUCUAAAUGGUUUUUGAUCUAAUUUUAGGAAAGGGCUCAGCAAGCUGAAGACCAAAGAAGAGUCAGCAGGUGAUCUUCUUAUAUCAUUUAUCACUCAGGAUAAAGGCCUACUGCUACAUCUGGAAGUGAGUUUGAAAUUUAUAAUUAAAUUUGCACACUGUAACUAAUUUCAGUCAAAACAUGACUUAUGAAUUAUUCAAGUGAAACAUGUUCUGCUAACCUAGUGUUUGGACAUUUACUUUGAGCAUCCUCCAAAAAUAUCUCUAUUUACAGGCAAUCAUCGCAGGAAAAGUGUCAUCCACCUGGGCUUCAUCAAAGGGCAGGGUGGACAGCUGGACAGAGUGAUGGGCUUCUUGACAAGCCUGGUUGAAGCACAGACAACCAGAUGUCACAAUCAAGUGGCAUUCAUGAUGGAUGUGCUUCUGCCAGAGGUACAUGCUGAAAAUGUUUAUGUAUCACAUGAAAAUAUUUUGUAGCAGUACUGUUGUCAGUCUAUAACUCAUGGAUAAUAUCUUGUUACCUGCAACAUGACAGACUAAUGUCUACAUGAAAGAUGUCCUUUUGUUCACCUCAUUACUCAGGCAACCAUCCAUGCGCUUUCAGCUGUCCAUGAAUGUUGACGGACAAAGACACAGAAAUGUACGGCAGUGGGCUGCAGUAUGACUGGAGGUAUUCUACAAACACAAGAACAGGGCUAAUGUCUAUAUGUAUUGUUUUCACAUUGUUUAUGACAGCCUCUAGGUGUGAAUGUCAUUUUUACUAGGGAUGUAAGAAAAUAUCGAUAUGGCAAUAUAUCGUGAUAAUUUUUCCAGCAAUAUUAUAUCGAUAUUCAAAAGCCGUUAUCGAAAAUAUUGAUAUGGCAAUAUAUCGUGAUUUUUUCCCUGCGAUUAUUACAUCGAUAUUCAAAAGCCGUGUAUCUAAUCUUUGAAAGAAUUUACAUGCAAACAUUUGUGUAUUUACUUUUCGUUUGGUGCAAUUCAAUCGCCACCCGCUAGUUGGCAGCAGUGUGCAACGGGUUUUGUUUCCACCAUUUAAAAUGUAAAUCCCUCCAUCAUGGGUCAGAUACCUCAUGUUAAACAUGUUACGUAUCAGUUUGGACAGUUUAUUGAACAUUCUUACAAUAAAUUCAGUAAAAAAAAUUGCUUGUAACGUCUGACUGAAUGUAUUGCAAUAUAUCGUGAUAUAUCGUAUCGUCUCCCCUGUAUCGUGAUAUGUAUCGUAUUGUCAGAAUUUCAACGAUACACAUCCCUGAUUUUUACUAAUUGAUAUUUAUCUUUGUCUCAUUAGUGAGAGGCAGCUGAUGUCCAAUGGCAUGGAACUGCUCAUAUACUCAGAGAAAUUCAGAAAAGUUCUGGACUCAACUGAAUUUUUGAAGAGGCUGUAGUAUUGUGUUGACUUUUUUUUUUUUGAAGGUAUUUGUAAGGCCAAUAAAAGUUGUUGCUGGUUGUUUCAUUUGUCUGAACUUUUUUUCUGAAGCAAAACUUUUCUGCUUUUGUGUUUACAGUAUAUUUUUUAAAGAUUAGUGUAUGGUCAAUAUCAGUUUACUAGUCUUGUGAAUUGUAUACUUAAUGCAAAAUAUUUUAGUAAUUUCUAAAUCAAUACAUUUUGUGUCAAAGGGCCAGCAAUUAUUCCUGUUAACAGAAUAUAUGAAAUGCAUAUAUACACAUGUAAAUAUGCCUAAAAAUUACACAUCAGCAGCUUUUCACUGUAAAGAAGCAAUAAAAAAUCAUAAAUAGUGACAUAAAUAUUAACUACUCACUCGUAUUGACUUAGACCCACUGUUAGUGCCUGUAAUAACAAAUGUUUGAAAGUUAAAUGUUGCUGUAGGAAGCGUGCUCCCACAUAAAUGGAGGCUAGUGGGCUUAAGGGGUUAAUUAAAACUAUUACCACUAAUUACUUUUUCUGAUAUUUUAUCUUAUUGCAUUUAAAAUAAACACUUGCACAUACAUUACUCACCUGCUAACUUAAGUAAGCAUAGGUAUGUUGCGCCUAUUGUCCGGCAACUGAUUAUUUGUUGGUGGUAUCUGUGUUUUAUAAUCCCACUGGGGAUGGCCAAAAAGUGUGUAUGCAAGAAAAAAAAUCCAUGCAUUCAUAUUUAAAUCUGGAGUCCUGUCUGUUUAAUUACAUUGUUACUAUUUCUGUAUAAACGUAUUAUUUCAAUUGUAUUGUUCGCAUUGAAAGGCGUUUGACAAAAAGGAAAUUGUUUAGGGGGCUUGAGGCUGGGUGCUGC
rnacentral:lncRNA from 1 species